AUGACUCUUCCCCUCUUCAGCUAUGUGACAAGAAGUCACUAAACUUUUCUAUAUCUCGGCUUCCUUAUUAAUAAAAUGAGAGGUGGGAUUAGGUUACUUCCAAGGUUUUAACAUUCUUUGAUCUUAUAGAAAUGCAAGUGAAGAAGCAUUUUUAUUUUUAAUAACACUUUCCUCUUCAGAUGGCCAAGUUAUUGUGAUUGAAGGCAUUCCAGAAAACAGGAAACAGUGGCGGCAUGAAGCUCCAGGAACUUUAAUGAGUGUUUUGGCAGCAGCACAUCUAACGAGUAGCUCAUUUUCUGCCGAUGAAGGAGAAUUUGCAAUGGGAACAUUAAAACAAUGGCUACCCAAAGAAGAAGAUGAAGGGAAGGUAGAAAUGGUCUCUGGCAUUGAAGUAGAUGAGGAACAACUAGAACCAAGGUCUGAUGAUGAUGAUACAAAUUUUGAAGAAUCUGAAGAUGAGUUGAGAGAUGAAGUAGUAGAAUCCUUAGAAAAACUCGCUACUUUCAAAGGGGAAGAAAAAACAGAAGAGGCCUCCAGUGCCUCUAAGGACUCUAGAAAGUCAAGAGAAAGAGAGGAGAUAAGUAUGCAGAAAUCUGAAGAAUUAAGUGAAGGCUUGGAGAAUAUUUCUACUACAUCUAAUGACCACAUUUGUAUUACUGAUGAAGACCAAGGAACAUCAACAACCAGUCAAAAUAUACAAGUGUGAUUAUUGUACUUUUUCUUAAGUAAUAAGUUAGUGUCUAUUACCUAUAGUAUUUAUUUGGGUACAAGUCAUAAAUGCUCAUUUACUGUAAGGGUUUUCUAGUAAUCUCAAGGAUUUAUUAAUUUUUCUUUCAAUUUAGGAAGUAGAACUUUUGAAUAUAGACAUUAAUAUUUUUACUUUAAAGUUUCUAUUAAGAAAUCUUAGGCCAGGCAGUCUCAUCACUUUGGGAGGCCAAGGCAGGCAGAUCAUGAGGUCAGGAGUUUGAGACCAGCCCAACCAACAUGGUGAAACCCCAUCUCUACUAAAAAUACAAAAUUAGCUGGGCAUGGUGGUGCAUGCCUGUAAUCCCAGUUACUUGGGAGGCUGAGGCAGGAGAAUCACCUGAACCUAGGAGAUGGAAGUUGCAAGUGAGCCGAUAUUGUGCCAUUGCACUCCAGCCUGGGCAACAAGAGUGAAACUCUGUCUCAAAAAAAGAAAAAAAAAAAACAACUUUCAGCUAAUAUAUGUGGUAGGCAGAGUAAUGUGGCUCAACGCCCCCUCCAAAACAUGUCCCAUCCUAAUCCCCACAGUUUGUGAAUAUGGCAAAGGAGAAUUAAGGUUGCAGGUGAAAUUGUUUGCUCAUCAGCUGACCUUAAAAUAGGGAGGUUAUCUUGGUUUAUCCACGUGGGUGCAGUGUAAUCACAAGGGUCCUUACAAGUGGAAGAGGAAGACAAAAGAGAAAACCAGAGCGAUCGCAGCAUGAAAAAGACUCAGCCUGAUGUUGCUGGCUUUGAAGAUGUUGGACAAGGCCACAAACUAAGAAUUCAGACAGCCUCUGGAAUCUGGAAAAGGCAAAGAAAUGGAUUCUUCCCUAGAGCCUCCAGAAGGAACACAGCCCUGCCAACAACUUAAUUUUAGCCUAGUGAGUUCAAUUUCAUACUUCUGACCUGCAGAACUGUUAAGAUAAUAAAUUGUGUUAACUAAGUUUGUGAUAAUUUGUUAGGACAGCAAUAGAAAACAAAUACAACAUACAGGUUCACUCAUUUAACAUAAUCUGCCAUUUUACAAAACUGUGAUUUUGAAGUUUCUUGUUGUAUUGAAUACACUUUUUUGAAGCUGAUGUUGACACAGGAAUAAGGCAAUUGAGCAAGAACAAGGCAUGGUGUGUUAAUUAUGCACUAAAUGACCAUGGCCAUUUUGUCUAAUAGUUUCUAAUGGUUUCAAGUGUAUAGGUUGAGGGCAGGGACUAUAUCUGGUCUUUAUAUCUUACAAUGAUUUUCUUAUAUACAGUUAUUAGCACAGUGCCAGAAAUGUUACCUGAAUUAAUAAAUGCUAAAACAUUUCCUCAUUAAGACUGUAAACUGUUUGGUGUAGGAAAACUAACUUUUUUUAAUUGAUCAUAACAAUUCCAACAUUGAACAUGGCCUGGAGCUUAACAGAUGUUUAUUUAAAUACUAAGGAGUAUGUCUGGGCUUAGGAAGGAGAGGGUGGUUACAUUUCAGGGUGGUAGAAUUCUGCCUGAAAUAUCUGCUCUAUAAUAAAAGUAAAAUGUCUCACCGAUAUACUGUUAAACUGAGAAAACAAAGAUGAGGUAAGGUGGGUCAGAUUAUUUCUAAGGUCUGUUUAUGUUUACUAUUUACAUUUCAUAUAAUUUUCAUUAAAUGUGGAGAAUGCAAAUCUUAGGAGUCACCUGAGGUACGUCCAGUUUUUUGUGACUAUUUCCUGAUGUUUGACAGACUGUUCUUUCAACUUGGUGUAGAGUUACAGUCUACUCUUUUAGGGAGAAUGCUGUUUGUUCACAUCAUGAGGCUGUAAAUAUUUAAAAUGUUCUCACCAUUGUGUUAGUUUCCAACUGACACAUGGCCUGAGAGAUUGGAGUAUCAUUAAUUCUGCAACUAUUUUAGUGCUCAGGAUGUGCAUAUGUUUAUUUACUUUCAGGACUAGUUCAGACAUAGUAAAACUGCUAGUGACUUCAUGUAAUCCUUAUUCUGAACUGUAUUUGAAAGCAAGGGAAAUGAAACAUGAUCCCUAAUAACCUCAAACAUCCAAAGAUCAAGUCAAUUAAGGGCAAAAAAAAAAAAAAAAGACAAAAAAGAAUGUUUAAGGAUGGUAAAUGAACAUGCCAGGUGUGGUGGCUCAUGCCUGUAAUCCCAACACUUUGAGAGGCUGAGGCAGGAGGAUAGCUUGAGCCCAGGAGUUUGAGACCAGCCUGGGCAACAUAGGGAAACACCCAUCUCUACCCACCCCUCAGAAAAAAAAAAAAAAGAAUUAGCUGGUGUGUUGGUGUGCACCUCUGGUCCCAGCUAUUCAGGAGGCUGAGGUGGGAGAAUCACUUUAGUUUCAGCCUGGGAGGUUGAGGCUACAGUGAGCCAUAAUCCGUGAUCACAUCACUGCACUCCACCUUGAGUGACAGAGUAAGACCCUGUCUCAAAAAAAAAAAAAAAAAAGCAUGUCAGGUUAUCGGGUUUGUUCCCAUGACAAGAUGCUUGGCUAAAGUCUAGUCUAUUUUAGGUAAUAGUCACCAAGCUUUACUCAACAAUUUUGAAUUCUUUGCUGUAAAUUGGAAGUAUUCACUGUGAUAAGUAUACAUAUCUGCAACAUUUUCAGCUGGUUUUAGUCCCUAAUUCUAGACCUUACCCAUUUUACACACACUAUUAGCUAAAUCGUGUUCCUGAGGCAUGGCUCUGAUUGCUUUACUCUGGCUUUAGCCUUGGCCUCAUCUGUUAAAUUGAAACUGUUCAUCAGACCUGUAUGCAUUAAAAAAAUUUUUUUAUUAGAAAAAUCAGCCUCUUGCUAGCCAUGUAUGGUAGCUAUCAAAUUGAUCAUUCUGUAAAUAGUAGCAAUAAAUCAACACUUUGACCUCCUCUGUGUCUAAGUAACAUUUGCAUAUAGUACAAGUGAGCACAUAGCACCAGAAUAUUGGAACAGAUGCUUCUCCAAAGCCAAGGGUUGCCUUACAUUUAGAGUGGGAAAAGAGGAAAAUGAGUUAGCAGAGGAGCAGCGGGGAGGGGGCGGUAAAUUACAGGACAUAAUUUGCUUCUAAAAAUUUGUGUUACGUGUUGUAGUUAUAUAAUUAACUUUCCUAUUGUACUGAUUGACAGAUUUGGCACAGAUAUCCUCUCAUUGUGAAUAUAUAUGAAUAUAUCAGAGUUCUGGACUCUGGGGUAUACUUACAUAAACACAAAUAUUCUGAAAGCAUUGAUAAUCACACUGGUCUCUCAUAAUUUUGUCUAUAAGAUGACCUUAUAAAAUCCCUCAAGAAUUAUUUAAAUCAAGUGUACGAAGCUCUGCAGUUUUGUUAUGUCCGAAAUAUUAAUUAAAAAGUUUAUUAAACCUGG
rnacentral:sRNA from 1 species